CCUCUCCUGGGUACAGCCCCGCCUCUCCUGGGUAUAGCCCUGCUUCACCUGGUUAUAGCCCCAGCUCACCAACAUAUAGUCCAAGCUCUCCAGGAUAUAGUCCUAGUAGCCCUACAUAUUCACCGACAAGUCCAUCCUACUCCCCUACCUCCCCCAGCUACAGCCCCACCUCCCCCAGCUACAGCCCCACCUCCCCAAGCUACAGCCCGACCUCCCCAAGCUACAGCCCCACCUCACCUGCCUACAGCCCCACCUCACCUGCUUACAGCCCCACCUCUCCGUCCUACAGCCCCACCUCUCCAUCCUACAGCCCGACCUCUCCGUCCUACAGCCCGAGCUCCCCGUCCUACAGCCCAACCUCCCCAUCCUACAGUCCAACCUCCCCAUCAUACAGCCCAACCUCACCUUCAUACAGUCCAACUUCUCCAUCAUAUAGUCCUACUUCUCCUGCAUACAGUCCCACAUCGCCGAGCUACAGUCCCACAUCUCCAAGCUAUAGUCCUACAUCUCCAAGCUACAACCCUUCAUCUGCAAAGUACAGCCCCUCCCUGGCAUAUUCCCCGAGCAGUCCAAGACUAUCACCAUCCAGCCCGUACAGUCCGACAUCCCCCAGUUACAGGCAAG
rnacentral:lncRNA from 1 species